rnacentral:RNase_P_RNA from 1 species
CCUGGAGCAAGGUCAAAUAGGGGGACGCUUCGGCCCUUGUGGUCGGAACUGGCGCACCGCCAGGGUCUCCGGGUUGAUAGCUUGAGCCACCGAGUAAUCGGUGGCCUAGAUGGAUGGCCGCCCCUCCCGCAAGGGGGGACAGAACCCGGCUUACAGACCAUCUCGCCGA